rnacentral:rRNA from 1 species
CUACGGGAGGCAGCAGUGGGGAAUAUUGGACAAUGGGGGGAACCCUGAUCCAGCCAUGCCGCGUGUGUGAAGAAGGCCUUAUGGUUGUAAAGCACUUUAAGCGAGGAGGAGGCUCUCUUGGUUAAUACCCAAGAAGAGUGGACGUUACUCGCAGAAUAAGCACCGGCUAACUCUGUGCCAGCAGCCGCGGUAAUACAGAGGGUGCGAGCGUUAAUCGGAUUUACUGGGCGUAAAGCGUGCGUAGGCGGCUUUUUAAGUCGGAUGUGAAAUCCCCGAGCUUAACUUGGGAAUUGCAUUCGAUACUGGGAAGCUAGAGUAUGGGAGAGGAUGGUAGAAUUCCAGGUGUAGCGGUGAAAUGCGUAGAGAUCUGGAGGAAUACCGAUGGCGAAGGCAGCCAUCUGGCCUAAUACUGACGCUAAGGUACGAAAGCAUGGGGAGCAAACAGGAUUAGAUACCCGAGUAGUC